GAUGAACGCUGGCGGCGUGCCUAAUACAUGCAAGUCGAGCGAACAGAUGAGGAGCUUGCUCCUCUGACGUUAGCGGCGGACGGGUGAGUAACACGUGGAUAACCUACCUAUAAGACUGGGAUAACUUCGGGAAACCGGAGCUAAUACCGGAUAAUAUAUUGAACCGCAUGGUUCAAUAGUGAAAGACGGUUUUGCUGUCACUUAUAGCUGGAUCCGCGCCGCAUUAGCUAGUUGGUAAGGUAACGGCUUACCAAGGCAACGAUGCGUAGCCGACCGGAGAGGGUGAUCGGCCACACUGGAGCUGAGACGCGGUCCAGACUCCUACGGGAGGCAGCAGUAGGGAAUCUUCCGCAAUGGGCGAAAGCCUGACGGAGCAACGCCGCGUGAGUGAUGAAGGUCUUCGGAUCGUAAAACUCUGUUAUUAGGGAAGAACAAAUGUGUAAGUAACUAUGCACGUCUUGACGGUACCUAAUCAGAAAGCCACGGCUAACUACGUG
rnacentral:rRNA from 1 species